AGGGGGCAAGCGUUAUUCGGAAUUAUUGGGCGUAAAGGGCGCGUAGGCGGCUAGAUGUGUCAAAGGUGAAAUCCCUCGGCUCAACUGAGGAACUGCCUUUGAAACUGUCUGGCUUGAGGCCGGGAGAGGGUAGCGGAAUUCCCAGUGUAGCGGUGAAAUGCGUAGAUAUUGGGAGGAACACCAGUGGCGAAGGCGGCUACCUGGACCGGUUCUGACGCUGAGGCGCGAAAGCGUGGGUAGCAAACAGG
rnacentral:rRNA from 1 species